GACGAACGCUGGCGGCGUGCUUAACACAUGCAAGUGGUGCGACGAACCAGGCUUCGGCCUGGGGCAAAGCCGCGAACGGGUGAGUAACACGUGAGUAAUCUGCCCCGAUGACCGGGACAACCCGAGGAAACUCGGGCUAAUACCGGAUGAUGAGCCUCGGCGUAAGCCUUGUCUCUAAAGGAAGCUUCGGCCUCCGCAUCGGGAGGAGCUCGCGGCCCAUUAGCUAGUUGGUGGGGUAACGGCCUACCAAGGCGACGAUGGGUAGCUGGUCUGAGAGGACGAUCAGCCACACUGGGACUGAGACACGGCCCAGACUCCUACGGGAGGCAGCAGUGGGGAAUCUUGCGCAAUGCGCGAAAGCGUGACGCAGCAACGCCGCGUGGGGGAAGAAGGCCUUCGGGUUGUAAACCGCUUUCAGGAGGGACGAAGCCACUCGGGUGAAUAGCCCAGAGGGUGACGGUACCUCCAGAAGAAGCCCCGGCUAACUACGUGCCAGCCGCCGCCGUAACAC
rnacentral:rRNA from 1 species